GAGCUUACAGUUUAUGGGGAAGGAAAGGAGAGGAAAUAGUAGGGUUAGAGAGGAGAAAGGAAGCGAUAGCAAAAUUUUCAGGGGAAAUCCUUAAUGCAAUUUAUGACUUGGUAACGACCGCAGCUCUCUCUCUCUCCGCCUCUGUAAUUUGUGAACUUUUCCGGCUCAGGUGACUGCAGAAACCAAAGGGAGGGAGCGGUUUUGCGGGGAUUUUGCAUUUAUCCACAAUGCACCCG
rnacentral:lncRNA from 1 species